ACCACAACCUCUGCUGUCUCAGAGCUGGCCUUCGCUGCCGCCGCCCCCACCACUGCCCCCGCAGCCAUCGCCACCGCUUUCACCACCACCGUCACCUCUGCCGCUGCCUCCUUGGGGCCCUCCUCCUUCACCGCCCCCUUCGCCACCUCUACACGUUCAAGGCCUUCUGUCCUGGAGAAGAAGCUAUGGUCGGUCUCCCUUGCGGGCCCGGGGCAGAGCCAUGGCGGACCGCGGCGGCGGCGGGGGAAUGGGCGCGGUGGGCAGUGGCGGAGCCGGCCAGGCCUCUGCCGGGGCAGCGACUGGUGCUACUGGGGACAGCGGGGGCGGUGGCCCAGUCAACCCGGCCUCGCUGCCUGCCGGCGACCCGCUGCUCAUCGGUCUCAUCGUGGAACAGCUCAAGAGACGGGGCUUUUUGACAGCUUCCGCCGGGACUGCCUGGCCGACGUGGACACCAAGCCAGCUUACCAAAACCUGAGGCAGAAAGUGGAUAAUUUUGUGUCAACACAUCUGGACAAGCAGGAAUGGAAUCCUACAAUGAAGAAAAACCAAUUGCGAAAUGGUCUGAGGCAGAGUGUGGUUCAGUCAGGGAUGUUGGAAGCUGGGGUAGACAGGAUUAUUUCUCAGGUGGUGGAUCCAAAACUUAACCACACCAUCAGGCCACAAAUAGAACGAGCAAUUCAUGAGUUCCUGGCGGCCCAGAAAAAAGCAGCUGUGCCAGCACCCCCACCAGAGCCCGAAGGCCAGGACCCUCCAGCUCCAUCUCAGGACACUUCCUAAGAAUAUGCCUGACACCUUUUGAAAGCUAAUUUCUGGUGAAGAAGUGGAUUCGGUUGUGUAAGAGUGCAACUUCAGACCGAAGAUAGGCCAAGGUCAUCACUGAUCUCAAGAUUCAACCUUGACCAUGGGCAGUGACCAGAUUGAAAGGGGAGCAAGUUCGGCAGUGGGAAAGUUGACCGUGUCGCCCCCUGCAUUGUGCUGCCAUUUGGCCAGCCUGCCCAAGGGCAUGACACCAAGUAGACACUACACAGAGAAACACUACAGCAAUCCAGGGUUGUCCUGAAACAGACUUUUAUACUUGAACAUGGAGACUGCGAGUGCACUUGAGGGUUUGUACUGUGGAAUAAACGGAAGCUACAGUGAGAACAUAGCCAGUCCCAAAGACAAUUUCAAAGAACAAUGACAGAAAGUUUAGCUGGGAGUAGUCUUUGACAGUGUUUAUUUGAUACUGUCUCUCAGAGUUUGCAAACCAGAUUGUACAAGUCAUUAGCAUCAGAUAGCUUUAAAGUUGUGACCUUCUUGUACAUGAAUCUUCUAGCCAGUUUCCUUUCCUUUGUAGUAGGUAAUGAGACAUGAAAUCCUAGAAUGUGUGAGAAGUUCAGACAUUAGACAUAAGGAAACUCGUUUGCAGGCUCUCUGUCCAGGGCUGCUUCCUGUCCUGGAGGGGCCACUGAGUCUUAGGUAUGUUUAUUUUAUCCUCACAUUUGUGUUUUUUUAGAAAAGUGAAUGAUCAAUAAAUGGCUUAUCUUUCAUAAUAAAA